CUCCCAAAUCUCCUGUUGAAGUAAUCCUUACCUCCAGCACUGGGGGUUACAUUUCAACAGGAGAUUUGGACGAGGA
rnacentral:pre_miRNA from 1 species